AUGGCUGUCGUCAGCUCGUGUCGUGAGAUGUUGGGUUAAGUCCCGCAACGAGCGCAACCCCCGUCCUUAGUUGCUACCAUUUAGUUGAGCACUCUAAGGAGACUGCCGGUGAUAAGCCGCGAGGAAGGUGGGGAUGACGUCAAGUCCUCAUGGCCCUUACGGGCUGGGCUACACACGUGCUACAAUGGCGGUGACAAUGGGACGCUAAGGGGCAACCCUUCGCAAAUCUCAAAAAGCCGUCUCAGUUCGGAUUGGGCUCUGCAACUCGAGCCCAUGAAGUUGGAAUCGCUAGUAAUCGUGGAUCAGCACGCUGCGGUGAAUACGUUCCCGGGCCUUGUACACACCGCCCGUCACACCACGAAAGUCGGCAACACCCGAAGCCGGUGGCCCAACCCUUUUGGGGGGGAGCCGUCGAAGGUGGGGUUGGCGAUUGGGGUGAAGUCGUAACAAGGUAGCCGUACCGGAAGGUGCGGCUGGAUCACCUCCUUUCUAAGGAACACACUGCCCGGUCCGAAGCGUUUGUUUUCGGGCUACCGGGAAGUUCCUACGUCGAGUACUGGCCUAUGAGGCGUUCACGUCGAACCUCGACCCCGGUGCACCAGCCAGCUGCCCUUGCUCUUCGGAGCUCGAGCCGCCGGGCCGUCGCCGGCUCCACCGAGACGUCGUGUCGUCCGGCCUUCACUGCUCUGUUUUGAGGAAGCGGCCUCUGCGCCGCCGUGUCUUCGGGCGCGGCUGCGCUGUCCCUUGCUCAAUCGGCAGAUCGGGUGCCGUUCCGUCGAGCUCUGCUCCGGGUCACGCAUACCGCCGCCGGCGAGACGAGCCCAGAAAGAGGGCAAGCGUCUCGGCUGGAACUUUGAGAACUGCAUAGCGAGCACGAGCGUCUUGGAAAUACGUUGUAGGUCCUCGGUCUUCGAACGAGUUUUCCGCCCGUUCGAAUGCACGAGGACUGUGCGAUUUCAAGCUAUGAAGAGCCAACGGUGGACGCCUUGGCGCCAGAUGCCGAUGAAGGACGUGGGUGGCUGCGAAAAGCCACGGGGAGCUGUCUACCAAGCUUUGAUCCGUGGAUAUCCGAAUGGGGAAACCCGG
rnacentral:sRNA from 1 species